GGAAUAUAGAAUACUGGAGCUGGGAGGGACCUUAAACCUAGCAGAUCAGAGUUGGGGAGUCCAUAAAGAAGGGCAAACCUUUGCUCAGGCAUGAGGAUUUGACUUUGGAUGGUGAUACAAAAAAAAUUCUUGGUCAUCAUGCUCAGCCUCAGGUAAUCAGAAGGCUCAUUGAAAGACCACUAGAGGGACAGACCAGAGGGUGGAGAGCAAGGAAGGAGUUUCCAUGGAAGAAGUGAUAGCUGAGUGAGGAUUUCAGGUCAUGUUAUUCCUGGCAUGAAGGACAGAGAACCAAGGGAUCCAGGGCAGAAGGGACUGUGCUGGCUUAAGAAAGGACACCAAUCUUCUGAGAAUGGAAGAUAAGCAGGUAGGGAAGUUGCAAAGAUAAUUGCUUGCCACCUGGCCUAGCCAGCCUCUCCAUGACUCCCCUUAGCUGUAGCUUGGAAUAGGAGUUUGCCUGAUCUUUCAGUGAUAUUGGGCCCACUGCCAAAAAAAAUUUGGCAAGGGGCCUGGUUACUACUACCCAUGUGUUAGCCCUCAGGAGUAGAGUAGAGAUGGAGGGAGUCUUGUGGUUGGCUCCUGUCACACAGCCCCCAACACUGAUAUCAAAUAGGAAAAAUUCCAGGUCUUAGUGGAGGAACCUUUCUCCCAAAAGAAAGCAACAAUUUAAUUAAAAACAAAACAGACAAAAAACCCCAGAACCUCAGUGAAUCUUUUAUUUGUCAAUAUGGAGUAUAUAGCAAAGUAACAAACAUUUCUGCAUUGAAACACUGUUUUCCUCCUCACCUUUUUCCCUUUGUGAAAUUCAUAGGGACAAUACACAUCUUUGGGGUCCUGGCUUGGGGGCCAUGUGGUUUCCAGCCCAGCCCAGCCCAGCCUCAACACAAAACCCAUUUAUUUCACCAUGACCUGCAUGAUGAGUGGUGCAUCUGGCCGACAUUUCCCCACUGUCUCCAGCUCAUCUCCUUCCCCUAGCCAGACCCUCAGCAUGGAUGGAAGGUGGGGUUCUUGCUGAUAGGUUGGGGGAGGGACACAGAGGGAGUGGACAGAAACAGCAGCUUCAUUUAUGAAUGGCAACUUACGACACCUCCCAAUUGGCCAGGAGUAAGACAGAGCAUGAGGAUUGGGGAAAGAUGGCAAAAAGAAUUCACAGUUUUCAUAUCAGAGAAAGUGCAAUGUAGAAUGGCUCUGCCCUUCUGGGAGUUCUUGGACCCAGGGGCACAAGGAUGUGGAGAGGGGUGGGGGUAAGGUUUGAGGGGAGACAGAUUCCCUUCCUUCUUGGCUAAGGAAGGGAAAAUUUAGGGUCUUGAGGACCUCUAGGUUUGCUCCUAUUUGGAGGCUGUAUAGGUUGAUUAUAAAGUUGGGAACCAGAAGGACUCCCAUUUUGUAGAAGAGGAAACAGACACAGAGAAGGUCACGGGCUAGCUUGAAGGUACAGCGCAGUUUGUGGCAAAGCUGGGACAGGGAACUCAGAUUUCCCGACCCCCAAUCCAGGCUGUCAACAUUAUUCUGAAAACCCAACCUUUUAGUAAACACAACAGGGGAAGGAAGUGAAGGGGGUGGCAGCAGGGAGGUCAAGGUGCUAGUUUUGGCAGAGCCCAGCUGCUCUGGGCAGAACGAACUUGGACUGUCACGGUCCAGUUAGGGAAAGAAAGGAAGGAAGGAAGGAUCACUUCUUUACUCCCUCUUCUUGAAAAAGCUAUGUGGCUAAAAAAGAAAAAUAUCUAUUUCCCCAUUCAUCUUUUUCCUAUCCCUCUCCUGCCUUGAUCUCUUCUGGGGAUUCCCACUGCCAGCAGUGGUGGAAGGGAACAAGGUUGGAGGGGAGAAGAAUCAUGAAACCAGAUCCAGGGACCCACAGAAAAAACCUCUGCCUGCUCAGGUACCAGGGCUAGAAGAACAGGCUUGUGGGGCAGGGGCCUUGGCAGUGCCCCUGACCCCUCAACCCCUCGGAGUGUCAGCCCAGUUUAGUGCAGGGGCUAUCUCAGGCUAUCUUCAUCCAGGAGCCCUGGUCCAAUGACCCCAGUAUACAUGUCCUGGGGCAUGUGAGAGAGGCAGGGCUGAGGGCAGUGGGGCUCUCUCUUAGGAAGUCAUGGCUUAGAAGAGGUCUUCUGGAAUUCAGUUCUUCCUCCUGCUCUUGGUGAUGGAAGAGGUUGUGUUUCCAAGGUGAAGCCCUGCCAUCCUCUCCAAGUCCCAGCAGCUGGGCUACGGGCCCAGAGCAGAUGGAGAGGUCCUUUUGGAUCCAGUGGGGAUGGGGAGGGGGGAGGAGGACAGAGAAGAGCGGAGGCCCAGAGGCACUUAAUUGCAGGGUUUCACAGACAAAACCAACCUGCAGCCAGUGGGAUAGAGAGGGGAUGUGAUAUGGGCAGAGAUCAAUGGUCUGUACGUCAGGGAUCCUAAUGGAAAGGAAGCUGACCCUCCGAGCAAAAGUAGUGUCCAGACUGGAGCUGGGAGGGCCAUGGUGCCCACCAUCAGGUCAUGUAGCGAGUAAUGGCGCGGAGGGCAUAGAGGAGGGCUGCUUGCAUCCGGGCCUCGAGCAGCAGCAGAUUCACGUGGACCUGAAGGAGGGAGGGAUGAAGAGUUCAGAAACCGCAUCUUCCCAUUCUCCAAGGGACAGGACCAAACUUGUCACCGUCUUACCCCCCAACCCUGUCUCAUCCUGAAGUCACUCCGGAGGAAGGAGUCCUAGAAACUUCCUACCUCAAAAGCUUGGCCCAGGGGCCCAGCCUCAGUACAUCUGGCUGCCCCCAGGAAGCAGGGCUAUGUCAGCCUGAUCCCUGCCUUUGAUUCUAGGAUGCCUCACCCUUUCCUACCUCCAGACCUGUAGGGUAUCAGAGCCAGACAGACAUGGGCAGAAAGCCAGAGAUGGAAGGAAGCUUAGAACCCAGACUGUCAGAGUUAAGAAGGGCCCUUAGAACCCAGAAUGCCAGAGCUGGGAGGGGCCUCAGGACAUAGCAUAUGUCCUAUGUCCUUAUGUCCAUAACACAUCAGGGAAGGAAAAACCUUUAGAACAAAGAAUGUCAGAGCUAGGAAGAAUCUUCAGAGACCAUCCAGUCCAAACUUUCAUUAAAUACACCCCCCUCCCCCAACCCUUUACCUUCUGUGUCUUACUGUCUUAGAAUCAACCUUAUGUAUUGUUUCCAAGGCAGAAGAGUGGUAACAACUAGGUAAUGGGGGUCACACAAGCCACAUUUGAACCCAGGACUUCCCUUUUCUAUGCCUGGCUCUCAAUCCACUUAGCCACCUAGCUGUCCCACAAUCUUUCAUUUUAAAGAUGAGGGAACCGAGGCACAGAAAUUCCAAAACCAGUUCCCUUAAGGUCAGAGCCUAGGUGAAUCGGGUGCUGGAGCUGGAACACUCACCACUGGUCUCCUGACCCCAUCUUUCUACCAUAGGUUCUCAUUUCCAUAAACUACUCUCCCUGCCCCUUCCCGCGUCUGACCAGCUAAUUCCAAGGGUCCCUGGCUUUCCCCCAGGUCCCAUCCCUGAACCCCCUUGCCUUGGUACUGCCUCCAGCAGGCUCAAAGGAAACCUUUACCUUCUCAGAAUGCCGGAAGUGCCUCCAGAAAUGGUUGUACAUCCUCUUGGUUGUCUUCUCUGGAUAACAGGCUACGGUUUUGAUGUAAACCUUGAGGCUCCGUUCCAAUAGCUGGUUCACUUCCCCAUAAUCAUAGUCAUCAUACCUACGAAGGAUGCCCCAAGAUGGUGUCAAAUCAUAAGGAGAAACCCAGCCUCUACCACGAUGAGCCCCAGCCCAACUCCACAUGCUCUUUGGACAUCUGGCAAAAGAAAGGGACGGAAGAACUUGGGGUCAGUGGCUGCUGCCUGCCUCCUUGCGUUGGGGAAGGUCCAGCCAAUGCCAUUCCUCCAGCCUUCCUGAGAGGCCACCUAGAGCCUGAGGGCUCCAGGACCAGCAGCACAGCCUUGAAGCCACUAGAGCUAAGGUGUCAAACUUAGGUUUCUAUUAAGAGCCGACACCAAUGGAUUAGAGGACCCUUCUGAAGAGAAGGCGGAAAUUAUUUCAAGCCCUGUUUAGUGGGGAAAGGAGAAGUGGAAGGAGAGACAGAAAGUAAAGUAUAUGUUAGAAGAGAUGAGACAGAGGCAGCUAGAUGGCUCAGUGGACUGAGAGCCAGGCUUGGGUGACCUUGGGCAAGUCACUAAACCCUAAUUGCCUCACGUUUACCACUCUUCUACCUUGGAAGAGAUACUUGGUAUUAGUUCUAAGACAGAAGAUAAGGGUUUUAAAAAAAAAAAAGAUAGGAUGAGGCUUUUCAAGACCAGGGAAGGAAAGGUGGUGGGAAACAAAAGCAGGAGUCUGGCACUCUGCUGAAAGGGGCAGAAAAGUCCCAAGUAACCAUGUUAGGAGCUUUAGGGGAUGGUUCAUUGCAAAGAAAGCUCCUUGUGGGCAGGGUACAUGCUACCCCCAAUUUUAUCACCCUCCUCAAGUAGUAAACAACCAACAAAACCUUGAUGGAAAAGAUUUGUCCUUGGAUUUUCUGCUUGCUUCUCACCUAAUGCCAAAGACGCAAUGGAUGUAGUUCCAGAUGGCCCUGCGUAGCAUAGAGGUGUCCACGCCACUGUGCAUGGCGAUGGUAUUGUAGGUCAGGGUGUACACCACCUGGAAUUUCUCAUCCAGCAGCUGUCCCCCCUCUGGGUAGAGUCGUUGGAUCAGGGAGUAGCCAUGGUCUUCCCAGGUAUAGUCCUGAGGAGCAGAGGGCAGGGGGUUAGAGGAGAACCAGUGAGCCCUGGGAGGGCUUUCCCAGAACUACUUGUGGUCAAGACAAAGGGGGUCAAUAGCACUCAGCCGUAAUUUUUCUUGGCUCCCGAUGCUCACUCUCCAAAAGUAACUUUUUAAUCUAUCCAAAAAAAAUUCUGGCUAUAAAAGAGCCAUGAGAGUGAGAUAAGAUCUGCCAUGCUAGAGUUGAGCUGAACAAGGCAGCCUCCUAUAUUACUCUCAGCUCUGCUGGGGCCUCCACCCAUCUCCAGUAACCAUUGCCUCCCAGGCUAGGUCUCUACACUGGAGACGAUUUCUAGAUUUAAUUCUUCCCACCACCAACCCUCGAUGAAUUUGGAAGGAUCUUUCCAACAAGGCAGCUACCUGAGCUCGGAAAGUCGGAGGGGCCUGGGUGCCUCGCCGAGUGAAGUCCUCAUACCCAAAAGUAGGAUCUUCCACAAAGCAGAGGACAUCUGGGGAUGGAGUAAGUUCUAGGAUGUCACCUAUGGGUGAAGCCAGAAAAGUAAGAGCUGAGCCAGUGUAGGGGAACCUGGUGCCCUGCCCUCUUGCUACAGUGAGAGGAAGGUUGGGAGUCAUGAUGAGAAGCAAUUCUGAAGGCAUUGCUGCCAUUGCCCUCACCCCAGAGAUCCAGCACAAAAUGUUCUUCACCUCCUCCAAGAGGUCUUUCCUUGAUCUCAAUGGCCAGGAAAGACCUCUCCUAAUUUCCAAACCCUGAAAUUUCAUUUUUUUGAGUUCUGUUGUUCUCUAGCAAUUUGCAAAGAGCCUCAAAUUGGGGCCCAGGUACUGUCUGUCUCUGUCUCUUGUCUCUCUCCAGAGGAUCUGCUAGGCUAGGAGAAACCAGAGGAUUGGCCUGGCCUGAUGAAAUGGAUUUCCCCAAAGCUGCAAAUCCACAAAGCUCAUCAAGGCAUGGAUGGGCUCUGGUGAGUUCCAAGAAGGUAGAGGCAGUGGCGGUGGGAAAGUUCAGAGUUCAAGUCCAAAACUCCAGGGUUUCAACUAUUUGCUGGACAUUUCCAUGAAGAUGUAUCUCUGGGAAAUGAACAAGCUGGAUACUGAAAACUGAACCCUUCUCAAAGGCAAACCCUUCCUCUUGGCUUUCCCAUUUCUGUUCAUGGCCCCUGAUAUUUCAUGGAGAACCUGACUCAUCUUUGACUCCUCUCUCUUUCCUUAUAUCCCAUCAGUCAUUAAUCAUAUAAAAUGGAUUAAGAGCUAUUAGAGACCAUAGUGGCCAAUUAAUAUUUUAUAGAUAAGGAAACUGUGGAGGGAGAUUAAGUGAUCUGUUUAAGUCAUCCAGAUAGAGAGAUUAGCAGGGCUAGGAUUUGAACCCAGGUCCUCUGACUUCAAAAGGAUCCACUGGAUCAGGAAAUGGCAAUCCAUUCCAGUAUCCUUGUCAAGAAAACCCCAUGGAUAGCUGUGGUCCACAGGAUCACAAGGAGUCAGAUAGGAGGGAAUGGACAACAAUAACAAUCUUUGACUACAGAUACAUUGAUAUUUCUGCUGCAUCACAAGACAUACGACUUCCUUUUGUGUACUCUAUGUUCCAGUCAAACUGUAUUAUUGGACAUUUCUAAAACAUACAUUCUCAUUUCUCUGCCUUUGUUCAUACAGCUCUUUCUGUCUCUCUUUCUCAUGCCUUUUCUUCUUCCAUCUCUUAGAGCUUUCAGUUGAAAUCUCAAAGUCCUAUAAAAAACUGUAUCAACGUAAAUGAAAUUAAAUUUUUUUAAAAUCUCACUGCAAAGUACAUGUCAGGAAUCAUGUUCAUUCAGCUCCAACAUAUCAUAAUGGCAACAAAUGACAUUUAUAUAGUACUUAACAUAUAACCAAAAAACUUUGUCAUCAUAAUCUCAUUUUUUGCUCACAAGAGCCUUAGAAUAGUAGGGUAACGCUAUCCCCAUUUUACAGAUCAGUAAAUGUAUUCAGAAAUGUUUUUGCCCCUGGGUCACAAAGUAAACGCCAAAGCUGCUGGACUCCCAAGUUUCUGACUUUCCUGGCUGCUUCUGUUUUUCCCUCUGCACUUCCAUAGCAACUUAUACACAAGAGGACCUCAAAAAUACUCAUUGAAUGAAGUAGACAUUUUGAUAAGAAAAAACUCACAUAAAGAAAUCCAGGCAUGCUCCCUGGCUGAAGCUCUCAGUCUAUCCAAACUACUUUUCAGCCUUCACUUCCUCUAUUCCAAGCAAUAAAAGAGAAGUCUCAUUCAUUCCGCCUCUAGGAGCUCUCCUGAGGGUGAGUGCCUGGAGGCAUGAUUCCAAAGUCUGGAGGAGCCCAGUUCCAGAAACAAAUUAGACUCAGAAAUCUAAAUGCAAGCCCCAGCACAGGUGCUCUGCAGAAGUGUCUAUGCUAAAGGGAAGUGACUGGAGACCUUGGAUAACUCAGCUAUUUCCUUCCACACCAUGUGGAUUAGAAAAAGGCAAAGAUGUGUGUCAGCUAUGGGAAGGGGUGGGGGAGGAAAGGGAAAGAAUAUGAUUCUUGUAACCAAGGAAUAAUGUUCUAAAUUGACUAAUUAAAUAAAAUUUAAAAAAAAGGAAAAGAAAAAGAAAAAGGCUUCGAUUCCAGUCUAAGUGGCUCCAUUGAAUGGAAAAAAUUCUACUGGGCAGGGAAAAAAAAAGACCUGUUUGAAUCUGCAUGAGCAGACAUCACCCCCUGCUGGUCAUGUGCUGCUACAACUCAAAGUUGUACCUGAGAAAAGAUAGCAGAAGUUCUUUUGUCCAUGCUCAGUAGUAAUGGUAUAACUAGAAAUCAAACCUAGUUCCUCUGGCCAGAGGCCAGCCAUUCUGGACCCA